GGAAGAGGGAGCAUCUUGGCCAUGAAGUAAGUGUUCCCAUGAUGAUUUGGAGUUUAUAUGGAGCGAAGGUUUUUCUUGCAAUCGGAGGAGGGAAUCCACUGGCGGAGUGCUGAGGGAGAAAUUUUGCCUUCUCCUGGAGAGCUGGUGGAACGUGCCGCAGGGUUGAGAGUAAUUAAGCGCAUAUUUCUGGAUCAACUUAGUGUUCCGUAUGUGCCCACCAUCUUCCGGGCGUCGAAUCCUCCUCCAGAGGCGGAUGUGGGGGUAUACAGGAGCGAUGCUCCAAUCCCGGGCUCUGUGGCCAUAGAAGGCCAAAAUGUUUUCCAUUGGCCUGGGACUACCCGGAUGUUCGAUGCCCGGUAGUUGACGAAGAUCCAUUGACCUUGUCCAACGAGUUUUUUGCUCAUCAGAGUACGGUGGUGCCGCGGGCGAAACUGCUCGAAGCCGAAGCCCCCCGAGGCGACUUCUCCGAAGGCGACUGCUCGUCCAAAUGAUGCGGCGCCGAAUGCAGAACCUGUUGGGACCGAAGCCCCCAGGGCGGCUCCUCCUGAGAUGUUUGAUGAGAUCCCCGAUGGGCUCAGCCAUGACGAUCUUUUAGAGGAGCGGCUCUGUAAGAAGUUGAUGAGCUCGCUGAAGCGAGUGUAUAUUCAUCACAAGUAUUUGCUUUGAAGAAGAGUAGGGCAUCAUCGGCAAACAAUAGGUGUGAGAUUCCUGGUGCAUGCCGUGAAAUUUUCAGCUCCUUCAAAGUGCCAUCCUGGACAUCCUUUUGCAACAACAAAGACAGAGCAUCUGCUACAAAAAGAAAGAGAUAUGGCGAUAGUGGGUCACCUUGGCGCAAUCCACGGGUAGGUUGGAAGGAUUCCAGGGGAAUCCCAUUGAGACAGACUGAGUAACGAACAGUGGUGACGCAGCUCAUCACCCCUCGCACCCAAGUAUAAUGAAAGCCCAGUCUCAGCAACAUUUUUUCCAGAAA